rnacentral:lncRNA from 1 species
UGGUAUUUCGGACGUAGUAACUGCAGAUUAACUGCAAUGUAUUGCAGUUGAACUGUUGUUAUACUGAGCUGUAACUGCAUUACUGCAGUAAAAAAAACUGUUAUUUUGGACGCAGUAUUUGCAGCAUACUGCAGUUAUACUGCACUCUGCACAUUUUUUCUCUAAGGGAGAGUUUUGCACUCACUUGAAAAAAAUAACAUUCUUAAUUGCAUUGUGUUGUUGUAGCCUAGGCAGGACACAUUUCUUGUCCCUAAAAAACUGAAACAAUAUGGAUAUUUUCGAGCUGCAUACCCAGGGACUGUGAAGGAGCGCACUCGGGGCAGCAUCCACGACGCACAUAGAACACCAUGGUGUUAGGUACCCUCCAGUCUGUCCUGUUUGAUGAGUCAGUAGGAGACCCCUCACACCUUCAACCCUGCACACUUCCUGGAUCAGGAGGGCAAGUUCAGGAAGAGAGACGCAUUCCUUCCAUUCUCUUUAGCUAAGAGGGUGUGUCCUGGGGAGCAGCUGGCUAAGAUGGAACUUUUCCUGUUCUUCACCUUCUUGUUCUUCACCUCCCCGCUGCAGAGUUUCACCUUCUCCUCUCCCCCAGGGGUGGAACCCAGCCUGGACUUUAAGUUGGGGUCUACACACAGUCCCAAGCCCUACCAGCUGUGUGCAACACUUGGAUGAGGCCCCCACAGCAUUUUGCAGGGGUGUCAAACUCAAUAGAAACUCCCUUCACCUGGUUGUCUGACACAAAUUGUAAGGAAAUAGCAAAAACCAAAGUGUAAUUCUUUUAUCACACCAAAAAAACUGAAAGGGCUACAGAUAGAGAAAACACACUUAUGUAAUGAUAAUAGUACUAAUACAAUUAGGUAAUGACACUGCAUAUACCACUAAUAGCCUACAUAUCAAGGUCUCAAACCAUGUUUUGUAGUCCUAGCUUGAACUUGAUGAAGAAGGGAAGAUUAGAUUGAUAAUGCAGUAGUGUGUUUUAGACUUUCAAUGUAAAUAAUGUACUUCAUUUACAACAGGGAUGGGCAACAGGCGGUGACCCCCAUUUUGUAGGCCAGCGGACGAAUAAAAAAAGAUAUACAUGUAUAUACAUUUUUUUUGUGGAACUCAGUCGGUGUCUCAACUUACUGUUGAGAGUAAGAAUAAUAGAAUACGCAACUGUCACGUCCUGACCAGCAGAGGGAGUAGUUGUUUAGUAUUUUGGUCAGGACGUGGCAGAGGGAUGUUUGUUUUGUAUGGUGGGGGUUUUGUGUGUGUUGUAGAGGGGUGUUUGAUUUAUGUGUUCCUGGGUUUUGGGGGUAUGUUCUAGGUUAGUAUGUUCUAGGUUGUAUUUCUGCAUUCUGUCUAGUUUAGGUAUUCUAUGUUUAGGUUUGGCUGCUGGACUCUCAAUUGGAGGCAGGUGUUUCUCGUUGCCUCUGAUUGAGAGUCCUAUAUAUGGGUAAUUGUUUGGUGUAGUGUUGUGGGAGAUUGUUUGUUGUUUUGCAUGUGUGAG